rnacentral:misc_RNA from 1 species
UAUGGAGGAGGAGAUGAAGGC